GACGAACGCUGGCGGCGUGCCUAAAACAUGCAAGUCGAACGCAUUUUCUUUCACCGUAGCUUGCUACACCGAAAGAAAAUGAGUGGCGAACGGGUGAGUAACACGUGGGUAACCUGCCCAUCAGCGGGGGAUAACACUUGGAAACAGGUGCUAAUACCGCAUAAUUCCAUUUACCGCAUGGUAGAUGGGUGAAAGGCGCUUUUGCGUCACUGAUGGAUGGACCCGCGGUGCAUUAGCUAGUGGGUGGGGUAACGGCCUACCAAGGCUGCGAUGCAUAGCCGACCUGAGAGGGUGCUCGGCCACACUGGGACUGAGACACGGCCCAGACUCCUACGGGAGGCAGCAGUAGGGAAUCUUCGGCAAUGGACGCAAGUCUGACCGAGCAACGCCGCGUGAGUGAAGAAGGUUUUCGGAUCGUAAAACUCUGUUGUUAGAGAAGAACAAGGAUGAGAGUGGAAAGUUCAUCCCUUGACGGUAUCUAACCAGAAAGCCACGGCUAACUACGUG
rnacentral:rRNA from 1 species